rnacentral:rRNA from 1 species
CAGCAGCAGCCACGGUAAUACGUAGGGUGCAAGCGUUAAUCGGAAUUACUGGGCGUAAAGCGUGCGUAGGCGGUUUGUUAAGUCUGUUGUGAAAUCCCCGGGCUCAACCUGGGAAUGGCAAUGGAUACUGGCAAGCUAGAGUGUGUCAGAGGAUGGUGGAAUUCCCGGUGUAGCGGUGAAAUGCGUAGAGAUCGGGAGGAACAUCAGUGGCGAAGGCGGCCAUCUGGGACAACACUGACGCUGAGGCGCGAAAGCUAGGGGAGCAAACAGGAUUAGAUACCCCUGUAGUCCCUGUCUCUUAUAA